rnacentral:rRNA from 1 species
GAUGAACGCUGGCGGCGUGCCUAAUACAUGCAAGUCGAGCGAACAGACGAGGAGCUUGCUCCUCUGACGUUAGCGGCGGACGGGUGAGUAACACGUGGAUAACCUACCUAUAAGACUGGGAUAACUUCGGGGAACCGGAGCUAAUACCGGAUAAUAUAUUGAACCGCAUGGUUCAAUAGUGAAAGACGGUUUUGCUGUCACUUAUAGAUGGAUCCGCGCCGCAUUAGCUAGUUGGUAAGGUAACGGCUUACCAAGGCAACGAAGCGUAGCCGACCUGAGAGGGUGAUCGGCCACACUGGAACUGAGACACGGUCCAGACUCCUACGGGAGGCAGCAGUAGGGAAUCUUCCGCAAUGGGCGAAAGCCUGACGGAGCAACGCCGCGUGAGUGAUGAAGGUCUUCGGAUCGUAAAACUCUGUUAUUAGGGAAGAGAAAAUGUGUAAGUAACUAUGCACGUCUUGACGGUACCUAAUCAGAAAGCCACGGCUAACUACGUG